GGCAAGAUGGCCGAGCGGUCUAAGGCGCUACGUUAAGGUGUAUCCUUAAUCCCAACCUCCAAGGUUCCGUAGUCCGAAAGGGCGUGGGUUCGAAUCCCACUCUUGUCA